rnacentral:rRNA from 1 species
GACGAACGCUGGCGGCGCGCCUAACACAUGCGAGUCGAACGAGCGAGCGAGAGCUUGCUUUCUUGAGCGAGUGGCGAACGGGUGAGUAACGCGUGAGGAACCUGCCUCAAAGAGGGGGACAACAGUUGGAAACGACUGCUAAUACCGCAUAAGCCCACGGUGCCGCAUGGCACAGAGGGAAAAGGAGCAAUCCGCUUUGAGAUGGCCUCGCGUCCGAUUAGCUAGUUGGUGAGGUAACGGCCCACCAAGGCGACGAUCGGUAGCCGGACUGAGAGGUUGAACGGCCACAUUGGGACUGAGACACGGCCCAGACUCCUACGGGAGGCAGCAGUGGGGAAUAUUGCACAAUGGGGGAAACCCUGAUGCAGCGACGCCGCGUGGAGGAAGAAGGUCUUCGGAUUGUAAACUCCUGUUGUUGGGGAAGAUAAUGACGGUACCCAACAAGGAAGUGACGGCUAACUACGUG